AUCAACAAAAUAAAGUAUGGUAAUUAGGUAAUCCCUUUUCUGUCUUAUGAAAAAAUUAUUUCAUUUUUCAAAAUGCUGUUUAUGAAUAAUUGUUUUAUGAAUGUUUGGACAUUGGAUAAUAACAUAUUACCUAUCAUCAUCUUGGAAUGAACAUAGAUCAUGAACCUUCUAGACUUUUGUGCCCUAUGAUAGUCAGUGUUAGGCUUUGGUUCCUGUGGAGGAGUAUACUCUCCAUCUUUCUUACUCUCCCUUUUGCCAAGGCAAUAAAAUGUCAAAUAAUCGCGAGGGUGAGCUUCAAUAUUCUUCUUUUUUAUGGCAUCAGCAAUAUCAGAAUACAUCAUCUCCAUGGUCCUUCGUUGCCAAUCCAAUAUCGCCUGAACUGAUGCACUUUCAGGUAUACCUUCUGGCCACAUUGGUAUCACCACAUACACGACAAACCUCUCUCCCGCUUCAAUCUUGCUGACAAUCUUCAAUGAAAUUUCCUUUGGUAUGAGAUGCAAAGCACCAAUAUCUUCAACUUUAAUAUCAGAUGCUUUCCAACCAUAAGAACUCCCUAGGAAAUACUGAUUUUCAAUGUAGAUGAAGUUUUUAGCUCGUCGAAUAGCGUUUAUGUAGGCAUCCUGAAUGCUUCUAUCAAUGAUGUUAUCUUUUCCACUAACAAGUCCUAAUUCAAUAGCUUCAUCGGGUGCUUGAGGGAAGUGAGAAACAGCACCACCGUCUAUGGACCUAAACAACUGAACACUCCAAGUGUCUCCAUCUUCUUCUGAUAUCAUUGCAUCAGAAGGGUGGAUUAGAAUUCUAUAAAGCAAUUCAAUUGGUAGUAGGAAUUGCUUCCCAACUUGCUUUUCCCAUCUUUGCUCAAAGUUGUACAACACGUCCCAUGCAACAGGUCCUUCUAGCUUACAAUGAAUAUCAUGCCACGGUUCUCUAGGACCGCCUUUGUUAAUAGAAGCACCCGGGAAAUUAGGCUGAUGAAAAUCAUCAUGAUGAACUGUAUUCAAUGUUGAAAACAAAGGGUGUUCCAUGGUAUCAUAUCUCCCAUCACACAGAUCGAGUCCGCCUACGAAACUGAUAACGGUCCGCUUCUUUGAUUCUUCAACAUGAUGACCAUCAACAAUUAUAGUCUUUUGGUGAUGAGUGAACAUUGUUGAAAUCUGAAAACCUUGAACGAUGCUUCUUCCACCAUCAGGAUUACGUGGACAUAAAACACAAUGUACCUUUGUGUCUCUAAAGUAAUAUGCAGUUUCUUGAUCGUGUGUUCCCAUCAAACCGUCCUCCUUAAAACCUGGAACAGAGGUUCUGUCAUCCCAAACAAGCAUAAGAACAUUAACACCUUCAUCGGCUUUUCUCUUGAGCAUUUCUCCAAGGGUGAUACUAGUUUCUGUUGACUUUUUUGGGUCCCUAAUCAAGGUUAUUUCAGUAUGAACAGACCAACCUGUUAUGUAAAUAAAGUGUUUGGCAUCCAUAAUUGCAUUGUAAAUAUCUUCCCAACAUCUUCCAGGAACAUAAGAUUUUGUUCCAGAUAUUGGAAUCCAAGGAUGAAUACUAUCAGGAACAUGAGCAUCUUGGUAUAAAGUAACACUACAGCCUUGUCUCUGGUCAAAAAAUAUCCGCGGAACUCCCAAAAAUGGCAUGUGUAUUCCCUGAGACCAUAGACAACUUCUGUCCUCAGUGACACUAGAGAAAUGCAUACUAACACGGAUUUUAGAACCACCUGGUACAGGGCGAUGAUCUUCUUCGUCUAAUAUCUCAACCCAUCUGUCAAUUAUAUGUCCUUUGAGAACUUUUUCAGUAGGGAUGUAAGCUCUUCCAAUUAGAGUUGCUCCAAUUGGAUUAUCAUCUUUGACAGUGAAUACAAGGUUUGAUAUGUAAUGAGCACAAUAGAUUUCAAAGGUUUCGUUCCAUUUGGGGUUUGAAGGUUGAUUCCCUAUCAUUCUGGUUCGUCCAACCCUUGCCUUAUCUAAAUCAACUGUUGCAUAGAGUCUUGUCCCAACAAUCUUCAUCGCAAGUGGUUUUGAAUGUUAAGAUUUUGAAAUAAAAAUUGUAUUAAAUCGAAGAAGCGUGUUGGUAACAGUAGUGAAAGAAUUGUAAAAUUUGGUUAAGAUAUGUACCUCAGGCCGGCACAAGAGACAACCUUUGACUUGGGCCAGAAAUCUCUUCCCCUUGUGUGUUGUGCCCUUUAGUUCCACAAAAUUUGACAAGAUAAUAAAAAAGUAACAUGAAUAUAAAUGAGCUUAAGCAAAUGUUGAUUUCUCUUAAAAAUAAAGUAAUGCAAUAAUAAACAUAUUUGAUUUCUCUUGAUAAGAAUAUGCUAUUUCUUAAUUUCCUGACAAAGCUUAUUUAUUUCAACAGGUACUAUUUACAUGACUGCUAAGAGCAGAAGGUUUUAUCCUGUCCAGCUUUCAAAACAAAUGUGAUAUGGGAUGUGCUUGUGCAGGUAAGUGGGUAUAGUUGUAUAAAUUAUACGGUAUAAUCAUAACUUUUUCAAUUAUACCGUAUAAUCAUAACGAGUUUCAAAAAGGGUACACAUUGAGGCAUUCCUCCGCCAACCUGCUCUAGCGAUGCUUCUCACUCUAGCAUUCCUUCUUGUCUGAGAAGCAUCGCUCAAUCAAUCAUCACGUGAUGAUCCAUACAUUAAGAUGAGACUCGCGUUGUGAUUCCCUCAACAGGAUCACCCUGAUUCACCCUAGCCUUCACUUAUAAAAAAGACAUCGUUCUGAUAAACCUUUCACUCGACUCAAUCGAAUUCUAUAGGUGGUUGCAUGUACAUCACCCCUCCCCGG
rnacentral:lncRNA from 1 species